UACAGAGGGGGCAAGCGUUGUUCGGAAUUACUGGGCGUAAAGGGCGCGUAGGCGGCCUGUUAAGUCGAACGUGAAAUCCCCGGGCUCAACCCGGGAACUGCGUCCGAUACUGGCAGGCUUGAAUCCGGGAGAGGGAUGCGGAAUUCCAGGUGUAGCGGUGAAAUGCGUAGAUAUCUGGAGGAACACCGAUGGCGAAGGCAGCCCCCUGGGUUAACACUGACGCUCAGGCACGAAAGCGUGGGGAGCAAACAGG
rnacentral:rRNA from 1 species